rnacentral:rRNA from 1 species
UGGGGAAUCUUCCGCAAUGGACGAAAGUCUGACGGAGCAACGCCGCGUGUAUGAUGAAGGUCUUCGGAUUGUAAAGUACUGUCUUUGGGGAAGAAUGACGGAUUUGAGAAUAUUGAGUUCGUAUGACGGUACCCAAGGAGGAAGCCCCGGCUAACUACGUGCCAGCAGCCGCGGUAAUACGUAGGGGGCAAGCGUUGUCCGGAAUUAUUGGGCGUAAAGGGCGCGUAGGCGGAUGCUUAAGUCCGGUGUGAAAGAUCAGGGCUCAACCCUGAGAGUGCAUCGGAAACUGGGUAUCUUGAGGACAGGAGAGGAAAGUGGAAUUCCACGUGUAGCGGUGAAAUGCGUAGAUAUGUGGAGGAACACCAGUGGCGAAGGCGACUUUCUGGACUGUAACUGACGCUGAGGCGCGAAAGCGUGGGGAGCAAACAGG